rnacentral:piRNA from 1 species
UGAGAUAAAUAGAGACUACUGCUUGCACU